GUGGGGAAUCUUCCGCAAUGGACGAAAGUCUGACGGAGCAACGCCGCGUGAGUGAUGAAGGUCUUCGGAUUGUAAAGCUCUGUUAAUCGGGACGAAAGAGCCUAGUGUGAAUAAUGCUAGGAAGUGACGGUACCGGAAUAGAAAGCCACGGCUAACUACGUGCCAGCAGCCGCGGUAAUACGUAGGUGGCAAGCGUUGUCCGGAAUUAUUGGGCGUAAAGCGCGCGCAGGCGGAUCUGCCAGUCUGUCUUAAAAGUUCGGGGCUUAACCCCGUGAUGGGAAGGAAACUACAGAUCUAGAGUAUCGGAGAGGAAAGUGGAAUUCCAAGUGUAGCGGUGAAAUGCGUAGAGAUUUGGAAGAACACCAGUGGCGAAGGCGACUUUCUGGACGAUGUCUGACGCUGAGGCGCGAAAGCUAGGGGAGCGAACGGGAUUAGAUACCCUUGUAGUCC
rnacentral:rRNA from 1 species